rnacentral:lncRNA from 1 species
UUUUUUCUACUGUACGGCAUGGUGACCCAGUUACACAUACAUGGAGGUACCUCAGAAAGCUACACAUAGAACUACCAUAUGACCCGGCAGUCCCACUCUUAGGUGUAUAUCCGGACAAAACUUUCCUUAAAAAAGACAUGCACCCAUCAUUGCUUUUAAAGCGCCCUCCAAAGUGAGAAAACCAGAAGAUUCAUUAAUUUAGCUGUUUGCUUGUAAAUAGGGAUCUGCCUCGCAUUUGGAAAAUUGGAAAAGCUCUCCUUUGAACUCAUUUCGUUCCACCUGCCUGUGUUGUUUGGUGUUUCCCAGACAAAUUGGACGUACCUGCCGCAGAUGCCGGUUUUGUAGUAAUAAUACUUUUCUGCAUUAGAAAAAAAACCCUGAAAUGAAAAUGUACCUUGGUCUGAUUAUUGUAAUCUCCCCUUGCCUUUUUUGCAUGGAUCAUUUGUUUGUGAACUGGUUAUUGCAGGAAGGGCUCAAAGGUAAUUUCAUGGUUUAUAGCAUUUAUAUUGGCGCCUUUAAUGAGCAAAACAUAUUGUUUUCUAAUACACAAAACGAGGAAUUCACAUAUAUAUAUUCCAUUUCCUAAUAAUACACGUAUAUCAAGUUUAAGACAUGGAGAACAACCAUGUAAAGAAAUUAUACUUCUGUACACAGGGGAAAUAUGCAAGUUUUGUGAUGCAAAAAAAUAAUAAAAAAAUAAAAAUCAACAUAUGCAGGCUUCUGAGAUGAUUUUAUUUCUAAUGCAUCCAGAUGAUAGCAGGGAGCUGCUGUUGCAUUUGGGUCUCGUACAGCAAUUCAUAUCUAAAAAUAUGGUAACAUAUGGCUUUGUUAUUAUUUAGUUUAGGAAUUUAUGCACCUAAAGGAGUUUGGAGAGCUCUGGGUCUCAUUCAGAUGUUGUGCACGGCAACUGAACGAGACAGGCUGGAGCACGGAGUCCCUCCACUCCGGGUUAUCAAGAUCUGACCGCUUCACUUUUUUUGUGGGUGGUGGUGUCGUUUAAACUCAAGAACUUUUUUGCAUAUUUGCUAAUGGUUCCCUUCCCUCUUUCUUAGGACUGUGUUUGCGAAGGCCAAAUUGGUGAAAUCUUUUGGGUCUAAUAAAAAUAUGGCCGGGGCUGGAAAAGGGACCAGCUGCUUUUUCUAGACCUCGAGCGAGGUGGCUUCCCGGCCUCCCGGUUCAUUUGAUGUCCCGGGCAGUCCUUGACACCCACCCAGCCCCGUCACAAGACUUUUCCCUCCCGUCCAGAUUGUGUUUGUUUUACGGCUCUCGCACGGAGCCUGCAGCUGUGUAAACCCGGGGCUGGUUUCUGCGCGCCUUUGAUCUUUGCAAGGAUCAACAGUUGCCCUCGGUCCCUGAACCCUGUUCCACGGCCCCGUCCUUCUUGGAUUUUUCCACUCUCUGGUCCUUAUGGCAUUGCAUGGGGAGCCUUCCAAGAGCAUCGCCCAUGACUUUGGGGGAGGAGUGGGGAAGAGGCACCUCCAGUCUGUCAUUUCUAAGACCUGAUUAAGAAGCGAUUUCCAUCUGAUGCCCAAAAGAUACACCAUUUAGUUUCCUCCUGAGAGGAAACCUGACAAUGUCAAAUAGACUGUGAGAGGUUUUGUUUUUUUUUUUUUUUUUUUUUAAACGCCUGAAAAAUUCAGUCCUUCUCUAAACCAGAGCCUCAUACCGCUGUUGGCAAUAGGCUCUUGGCUGAUGGAGUGUGGUGUUAUUUUUCAUUUAGUAAACUGGGUGCCUAUGCAUAAGGCAUACGAAAGCCAUGUCUCCUGUGCUUACUUCCUAGACUUGGUUUUAAAAGCUUCACGAAAGAUACAAGGAAGCUAUGUAUGGGUUCUGGAGAAAGAGCCCUCAUUUCCAUAUGGGGCAAUCACGAAUGGCUUACAGAGCUGUACCAUAAUACCCGGGGAAGGAUGCUGAGCCAAGAGAUGAGAAGGGGUCUUCCCAGGCCAAAAGAAGAGCACCCAAGGCCAAGCCGACUCCUGAUUCAGAUCCACUUGAGCUUAAAUCCUGGCUCCAUCCCUUACUGUUUCUGUGACCUGGGGACUUUGUUCAGGUUUCUCACCCAUAACAGGGGAUUAAUAAUAGUCUCUUCCUUUGAGAUGAGAAUUAGACAGAGACCAUGCCUGUGAAUUGUUGAGCACUGUCCCUGGGACGUAGUCUGCAGGCAGUAGCGGUUAGCAUCUCUUCCUGCUGCACUGCAGCUCUUCGUUUUUCUCCCCUAUCCUUCCUGCUCCUCGACUUUUUGAUAAAGUUUUACACCAGAAAAGAUGAGCUGUGUCACCGCCAGCCUUCUCAUAUGACAGGAGCCUGGGAGAUGUGUGGGGGAGUAUUCCUAGAUUUGGUUAAAUAAGUGAGUCUUCGCGAUCUGGGAGUGGGUGGAGCCACAUCCUUGUCAGUGGCCCCAGAUCGCAGAAGAAGAAUCUCUGAAAAAAGGCGCUCACGCGGAGGAUUCUGAACCCGGGAUGAAGCUCACUUGGUGACACAGAGUGACACGGUUGAUUGACAGAGCCAGCUGCCUCCUUGUUCUGUAAUUCCAGGAGGGGUACCUUCUCGCCCUUGGAGUCUUAGGUAGGCACACGACCUUGAUGGCGUGAAGGCAGUGAACACAGAUUGCCUCCUCCUGUUAAUAGAUACAACCAAGAAGAAAGAACGCUUGGCCUGGACGCGUAAAGCGACACCUACAGUUUAUAGUGUUACUCUAGUAUUUUCAACAUCUCCUGAGCUGUGGGUGGAAAUCCCAUUUCUCUCUUUCCCUCCUUCCUUCCUUCCUUCCUUCCUGCCUUCCUCUCUCUCUCCCCCUUCCUUUCUUCCUUCCUUUCUUCCUUCCUUCCUUUCUCUCUUCCUUUCUCUCUUUCUUUCAUCUUUUUAGGGUCACACUGCAGCAUACGGAGCUUCCCAGGCUAGGGGUCCAAUCAGAGGUACAGCUGCCGGCCUACGCCACAGCAAUGUGGCAUCUGAGCUGCAUCCGGGACCUACACCACAGCUCACAGCAGCGCCGGAUCCUUAACCCACCGAACGAGGCCAGGGAUCGAACAGGCAUCCUCGUGGAUGCUAGUCAGAUUCGCUUCCGCUGAGCCAUGAUGGGAACUCCAGAAAUCCCAUUUCUUAUCAAGCUGACCCGCAGUGUUACAUCUAGGAACGUGGGCUAAGAUGCAGGUCAGCUUGUCUCCACUGCUGCCUGGCGAGAUUUGGCGGGAGCCGUCUUACAGAGUCCAGGAGAGAAGUAAAAGUCCUGGCCGUGGUAUUGCUUCCUCUAUAGGGGCUGCCUAUGAGGGAAGCUGCAAAAUUCAGAUGGUCCCAUCACUUCAAAGGGACGGUGGUUAAGACAGAAGGAACUGAGUAGAAGUUAGGGGAGAGCUUAAUUUUUUCCAGUAGCCAUCAUGAAGUCUCUGUUUGCUUUUUGGAAAAUGUGAUUUAAUCUUUGAGAAAGCAGUGUACCUUUAGGAGUAAUUUUCUGGGUAGGCUUCCCAGCUUUCCUUCUUCGGACAUCCCCAAACAGUUCUUCGUGCAGUGCCAUGCCUCCCAGCUUAACUUUUUCAGGAAAUGAUUCAUGACUUUAUAAUUUCAAUUCACUAACCCUUUUCAGCCGUGCAAUAAAUUUAAAUCCUUUACUAUCAAGAUAACAUUUUUUCUCCUGUCACUGUGAUAAAAUGAUUGGAAACCACUUUUAGAAGUUGACCCUUUGGGGGACAGCUCUUAAGGGGUUGUCCUUUACACCAGCACAUCCCUUGUAGGUGCCAGUGUUUCCAUGGCAGGGGCCCCCGAGCUGCAGAGCAAGUGCCCAGGGUAACGCCCUUUACAGCAGGAUGAUAAAGAGUUCACUGGGACAUGGGCAAGGGGAGUCUGUGUAUUCGAAGCGUGUGGUUCUGAGAAAACCACAUCCUUUCCCAGAAUAAAGGAUGGAUGAGAAAGGCGUUGCUAAGGCAUGUUUCACCCCCUGAAAAUCGGCCAUGAGUCAGGCAAGGGCAGUCAGCUCAGUGGUCCAGGGCCUCGUAGAGAGGAAUCCUGGGGUGACUGACGUGCCCCGUGACUGCAGGGCAGUCACUGAGCCUUUUGGAGCCUCAGUUCCCUCCUCAUGUUUUAAAAAGGGUGUUUUCAUUUGUGCGUUUGUUUGUUUUUCCUACUGUACAGCGUGGUGACACAGACAUGUAUACAUUCUUCUCCCAUUAUCAGGCUCCGUCAUAAAUGAGUAGACAUGGUUCCCAGUGCUACACGGCAGCAUCUCAUUGCUAAUCCACUCCAAAGGCAAUAGUCUGCAUCUGUUAACCCCAAGCUCCCAUCCUUCCCACUCCCUCCCCCUCCCCCUCGGCAACCACAAGUCUGUUCUCCAAGUCCAUGAUUUUUUUUUCUGUGGAAAAGUUCCUUUGUGCCGUAUAUUAAAUAGCAUAUUGGGGAAAUAAAAAAAAAACCCACAGAAAUCAAAUAUAACAAAAAAAAUUCUACUUUCAUUAUUAUCAAAAAAUAAAUAAAAAGGGUGUUUUGCAAAAGGUCAAUUAAAACACUGUGAAGUUCUGAAAAUAACAGGUUUCUUUUUGUUACAAAAAAUAUUGAACAUACAGAAAAUUCAAAGACUACUUUAACAGUACAGGAAAUAACCAUAUACCCACCAUCUGGGUUCAAAAAUUACUAAUUUAUUACCAUGUUUUAUUAGUUUGUCUGUCCAUCCACCCACCCAUCCAUUUGUCUGUCCGUCUGUCCAUUCAUCUGUCCAUCCAUCUGUACAUCUAAGCUGUGGAUACUGAUACCCUUCCCGUCUAUGACUUGGACAGGCCUCUCCUCCAACUAGACUGUGUUCUGCUUAAUCCCAUUUGUCAGUAGUAUCAUGUCUGUGAAAUUGACAGUAAGUCACUAACGCCAAAGAAUGCACAGUCUGUAGCCAGAGGUACCCUCUCGUCCUCAAACUGUCUUUCGCAGUUUUUGUUUUCAGUCAGUCUGCAACCAACCAAGGUUCACACAUAAUAUUUGGCAUGACGUCUUUUUAGUCUGUUUCAGUGGAGAGGGUAUUUAGGGGUAGGAGUAGGGGUCCUAGGAUGGUUCCUGGCUGGUUCCUGUGGAUACUGCCAACUUCCUUGGUCACUAACAAGGCUUUUAUUUUUCAGUACUUUUCGGUUAUCAAGGAAACUUUUUUUUUUUUUUUUUUUUCUUUUUGCUAUUUCUUGGGCCGCUCCCGUGGCAUAUGGAGGUUCCCAGGCUAGGGGUCCAAUUGGAGCUGUAGCUACCGGCCUACGCCAGAGCCACAGCAAUGCAGGAUCCGAGCCGCGUCUGCAACCUACACCACAGCUCAAGGCAACGCCGGACCGUUAACCCACCGAGCAAGGGCAGGGACCGAACCUGCAACCUCAUGGUUCCUAGUCGGAUUCAUUAACCACUGCGCCACGACGGGAACUCCAAGGAAACUUUUUGUACAUUUUGUUUUACUUCUGUAAAUCUGGUUUCAACUUCCAGCCUAGUUCAGACCGACCGUGAGCAUUUCCUUUGGUGAAACUUGGAAAGAGGAAAAAAAAAAUCUGUUAAUCAGGGUUCUUGAAGUGCAGUGUUUAUCUCAGGGGGAAUAAGUCUCCCC